rnacentral:rRNA from 1 species
AUUGAACGCUGGCGGCAGGCCUAACACAUGCAAGUCGAACGGUAACAGGGAUCAGCUUGCUGAUUCGCUGACGAGUGGCGGACGGGUGAGUAAUGUCUGUGAAACUGCCUGAUGGAGGGGGAUAACUACUGGAAACGGUAGCUAAUACCGCAUAACGUCGCAAGACCAAAGAGGGGGACCUUCGGGCCUCUUGCCAUCGGAUGUGCCCAGAUGGGAUUAGCUAGUAGGUGGGGUAACGGCUCACCUAGGCGACGAUCCCUAGCUGGUCUGAGAGGAUGACCAGCCACACUGGAACUGAGACACGGUCCAGACUCCUACGGGAGGCAGCAGUGGGGAAUAUUGCACAAUGGGCGCAAGCCUGAUGCAGCCAUGCCGCGUGUAUGAAGAAGGCCUUCGGGUUGUAAAGUACUUUCAGCGGGGAGGAAGGGAGUAAAGUUAAUACCUUUGCUCAUUGACGUUACCCGCAGAAGAAGCACCGACUAACUCCGUG